GAUGAACGCUAGCGACAGGCUUAACACAUGCAAGUCGAGGGGCAGCAUAAAAGUAGCAAUACUUUGGUGGCGACCGGCGCACGGGUGAGUAACGCGUAUGCACCUACCUAUCAGAGGGGAAUAACCCGGCGAAAGUCGGACUAAUACCGCAUAAAACAGGGGCACCGCAUGGUGAUAUUUGUUAAAGAGAUUCGCUGAUAGAUGGGCAUGCGUUCCAUUAGGUAGUUGGUGAGGUAACGGCUCACCAAGCCGACGAUGGAUAGGGGAACUGAGAGGUUGGUCCCCCACACUGGUACUGAGACACGGACCAGACUCCGACGGGAGGCAGCAGUGAGGAAUAUUGGUCAAUGGGCGAGAGCCUGAACCAGCCAAGUCGCGUGAAGGAAGAGGGAUCUAUGGUUCGUAAACUUCUUUUGCAGGGGAAUAAAGUGCAGGACGUGUCCUGUUUUGUAUGUACCCUGAGAAUAAGGAUCGGCUAACUCUGUGCCAGCCGCCGCCGUAA
rnacentral:rRNA from 1 species